GACGAACGCUGGCGGCGUGCUUAACACAUGCAAGUCGAACGGAAAGGCCCUGCUUUUGUGGGGUGCUCGAGUGGCGAACGGGUGAGUAACACGUGAGUAACCUGCCCUUGACUUUGGGAUAACUUCAGGAAACUGGGGCUAAUACCGGAUAGGAGCUCCUGCUGCAUGGUGGGGUUUGGAAAGUUUCGGCGGUUGGGGAUGGACUCGCGGCUUAUCAGCUUGUUGGUGGGGUAGUGGCUUACCAAGGCUUUGACGGGUAGCCGGCCUGAGAGGGUGACCGGCCACAUUGGGACUGAGAUACGGACCAGACUCCUACGGGAGGCAGCAGUGGGGAAUAUUGCACAAUGGGCGGAAGCCUGAUGCAGCAACGCCGCGUGCGGGAUGACGGCCUUCGGGUUGUAAACCGCUUUAGCCUGUGACGAAGCGUGAGUGACGGUAAUGGGUAAAGAAGCACCGGCUAACUACGUG
rnacentral:rRNA from 1 species